GGGGAGUCUGACUUUGAGAAAGUCAUGGUGUCCGGGGACUGGCCUGCACUUACAGCUACAGGUCUCCUAUCAAGAGGUUCCUAUGAGACCCCAGCACAUUGUCAUAUUGCUCUCAUUUCUCUCUUCUUUUUUGUCCCUGGGUCCUGAGAUCAAUCUGAACGACUGGUGAAUGGAUAUCCUUACCUGUGUUUUAACUAAUUGCUCAUUAUUGAGUGAAAUGUAGUAUCUUCCUUCCCAUCAGCCCUCACCUCCUAAAUUCUCUUGAUUACAUUCCAAAGCCAUGUUCAGCUAGUUCCAACCUCAUCUCCACGCCUGCGUGACCCUGGGUGGGAGAUUUAACUUCUGGAUCUCAGCCCUUGCUUCUGCUAUCUGUUUUACAGGGUCACUAUUAAAAAGAACUAAAAUCACCUCGGCAUUUGGCACUGAGUCCACAGAAAGUAGAGUCGGUAAGAAGGUGGCAACCUGGAAAUGUGGAUUGCAUUCAUCCUGGGCUUCUCCUACUGGAUGGCAAGGUCUGAACAAUUCGGAAACUCAGUCCUGGGAAACCGGCCAGAGAAGAAACGGAUGGACCUGCUCUCUGGAGGCUUCCGGUCUCCAGAGGCUUCCGGUCGCUGGAGGCUUCCGGUCUCCUGAGGUUUCCGGUCUCCUGAGGUUUCCGGUUUCCGGAGGCUUCCGGUCUCACGCUGUAGGAAUGCGACAGUCAACCACAGCGAACAUCGCUG
ensembl:lncRNA